AUUGAACGCUGGCGGAAUGCUUUACACAUGCAAGUCGAACGAUGAAGUCUAGCUUGCUAGACGGAUUAGUGGCGAACGGGUGAGUAAUAUAUCGGAACGUAUCCAUUAAUGGGGGAUAACUAGUCGAAAGAUUGGCUAAUACCGCAUACGUCCUACGAGAGAAAGCUGGGGAUCGUAAGACCUGGCGUUAAUGGAGCGGCCGAUAUCUGAUUAGCUAGUUGGUGAGGUAAAGGCUCACCAAGGCGACGAUCAGUAGCUGGUCUGAGAGGACGACCAGCCACACUGGAACUGAGACACGGUCCAGACUCCUACGGGAGGCAGCAGUGGGGAAUUUUGGACAAUGGGCGAAAGCCUGAUCCAGCCAUUCCGCGUGAGUGAAGAAGGCCUUCGGGUUGUAAAGCUCUUUCGCAAGGGAAGAAAACUUAUCCUCUAACAUAGGGUGAGGUUGACGGUACCUUGAUAAGAAGCACCGGCUAACUACGUGCCAGCCGCCGCCGUAACAC
rnacentral:rRNA from 1 species